rnacentral:rRNA from 1 species
CCUACGGGAGGCAGCAGUGGGGAAUAUUGGACAAUGGGCGCAAGCCUGAUCCAGCAAUGCCGCGUGAGUGAUGAAGGCCUUAGGGUCGUAAAGCUCUUUUACCAGGGAUGAUAAUGACAGUACCUGGAGAAUAAGCUCCGGCUAACUCCGUGCCAGCAGCCGCGGUAAUACGGAGGGAGCUAGCGUUGUUCGGAAUUACUGGGCGUAAAGCGUACGUAGGCGGUUAUUCAAGUCAGAGGUGAAAGCCCGGGGCUCAACCCCGGAACGGCCUUUGAAACUAGGUAGCUAGAAUCUUGGAGAGGUCAGUGGAAUUCCGAGUGUAGAGGUGAAAUUCGUAGAUAUUCGGAAGAACACCAGUGGCGAAGGCGACUGACUGGACAAGUAUUGACGCUGAGGUACGAAAAGCGUGGGGAGCAAACAGGAAUUAGAUACCCUGGUAGUCCACGCCGUAAAACGAUGAUAACUAGCUGUUCGGGCACUUGGUGCUGUAGUGGCGCAGCGUAACGACAUUAAAGUUUAAUUACCGUCCGUCGGGGUAGGGUAACGGGUACCGGCCGAACGAAAGUUAAAAACGUUAAACGAAAACGGAAAAGUUAAGUAACGGUACGUGAGAAGUGCCGAACGGACGACGACGAGGGGAAGGGAGGGAG